UUCAACAGGAAAAUUGCGAACUAACUUAAAGCCUAAUGCUUUUCCUAGCCUCCACUUAAGUAGAUCGCCUAUUGCUUCUACGAGUCGAAAGAUUAUGGCCAUAAAUAUCGAAGAAGAACAAAUUCGACCUGCGUUUCAAAUAGAUUUGAAGAAAAAAAUGUAUUUACUAAAAGAAGGAAAUGUGAGAAGGG